rnacentral:rRNA from 1 species
GACGAACGCUGGCGGCGUGCCUAAUACAUGCAAGUAGAACGCAGUUGCGAACGGGUGAGUAACGCGUAGGUAACUGCCUGGUAGCGGGGGAUAACUAUUGGAAACGAUAGCUAAUACCGCAUACUACCAGAUGGACCUGCGUUGUAUUAGCUAGUUGGUGAGGUAACGGCUCACCAAGGCAACGAUACAUAGCCGAACUGGAGGGGUAAUAGGCCAAACUUGGACUGGGACACGGCCCAGAUUCCUACGGGGGGCAGCAGUAGGGAAACUUCGGCAAUGGGGGGAACCCUGACCGAGCAACGCCGCGUGAGUGAAGAAAGUUUUCGGAUCGUAAAGCUCUGUUGUUAAGGAAGCGGUACUUAACCAGAAAGGGACGGCUAACUACGUGCCAGCCGCCGCGGUAAUUC